CGCGGAGUAGCUCAGUUGGUAGAGCGCCUUACACGCAGUGUGGAAGUCGCGGGUUCGAUUCCCGCCUCCGCGA
rnacentral:tRNA from 1 species